AAUUAAAUGACACCCAGGAACCAGAGGACUAUCAUGGAGAUUGAUAAUCGUAUGGUCUCUGAUAUCAAAUAUGCACAUAUGUGAUCGGGUACAUUGCUCGCUUAAUAAUGCUGGACAUUGUAAACGAGACAGAGAAGGGUUGAGAGGGUGUGUGGCCUGCGAUCCGAAUAGAUAACCGAGAACCGAACGGAAAGCCGUAAAACACGGAAAAACCGAACCGAGUCAUUCGACGACACGCUAAAAGCUUCUUAAAAUCGUACAAAGCACCAGUGCGUACAAAUUCACUCCUCCGUUCGUCUAUACAUACAACUUGAGAAUCACAAUGUCUCUCUCUUUCAUACGUAUUAUAAUUAUUCAUCUUUCUCGUUCAAAUUUUUUUUUUUUGUUUCUUUUUUUCUUUUUACCAUCGACGCA